rfam:Schistosoma curassoni strain Dakar, Senegal genome assembly, scaffold: SCTD_scaffold0000357
AUCCAGCUGAACAGUCUCAAAUAGGACGAAACGCGCUUCCUGGAU